rnacentral:lncRNA from 1 species
CAAAGUAUGCAAAAAGAAGCAAUUUGGAACAUUCUAGAGCAUUUUUGGGCCAAGAUUGGAUUGUGCAAGCAUGAAGGCAUGAGGAUGGACGAAUUUGAAGACAAAAGAGGCUAUGAACAUGCUAAAAAUCUGGUGAAACAAAUACAAGUUGCAAGAAGGGAUAAAUUUCUAGAAGGAUUGACCAAAACUUCACUCAAAACCAAGAAAUUCUUCAAUGCCGUGGGCAUUGAUUCACUUUCACCAGAAAUGUGAGUGGAUGAUGCAAUGCUUAAAUCACCAUGACAUGUGAGUGGAUGAUGCAAUGCUUAACUCACCAUGACAUGUGAAUGGAUGACUCAAUACCUAACCCACCAACAAUUCCCACUCUUUGCCUUGCUCACCUACUCAAUUCCACUAGAAUUUUGUGUUAAACAAAUCCAUCCUUUUCCUAUAAAUACCAUGGCAGCAACCUCAUUCAAAUCAUCCAGAAAUUAACCAUUCUCCAAGCCUUCCCUUGCCUCUCCCUACAUAUCUAAACCUUCCCCAUCCAUUCCUCCAUAUAACCAACCAUUCAACCACCAUAACCACCUUGUGCCGCCACCAUUGAAGGAGAGGAGAGGUCAGAGGAAAAGGGGCUUAGAGUGAGAAAAGGCAAGGAGAAAUUGACGGGAGCAACACAGAGAGCAAAGUUUCACUCCAUUUUUCUUGGUUUUAUCUUCUCAAACCCAUGUUUUACUUUUGGUUUAAUUUGAAAAUAAUGUGUAACUAAAUUUAUUUUGGCUAGAGGUUAAUUCAAAGCCAUGAAUAUAUUUGUAAUAUGAAUUGAUUACCUUCAGUUGUGAUUUCUGAGUUGUGAUUUAAUUUGCUUAACUGCUUGAUUGAUAACUUAUUUUUGUAUGUCGAUUAAGAAUGCAUACUUAAUUUACAUGCAUGAAUUUGAUGCUAGAAUAUAAGUGAAUUUCACCUAAUCGUUAUGAACUUAUAUUCACAAGUAGUGAAGGUUGUUAUCCACAAUCGUGUUAAGUGAAUUCUAGGCUGGAUUAACAUGCGUAUUCCAUAGUUAUGAAUGCCUAGUCAAUGUUAUGAUUUCCGUUGAACUUAAUGAUCUUUGUUGAAUGUCUCUAUCAUGCGUAUUCCAUAGUUAGGGACUUGAUGAGGAAUAAUUUGGUUGUAAUGCGUAUUCCAUUCAAUCCAAUGAAUCUAGGGAAAUCUAAGAGUUAAUUUAAGCAGACCUAAUUAACUUGGAACAUUGUCAUUCACAAUUUAUUGAAAGAACAACUGAAAAUCAAUUUAGGUUGCAU